rnacentral:lncRNA from 1 species
CUGAUAUUGAUUUGCUCAAAUAAAAACCAUAAAAAAUCAUAGAUCCUCAAUAAAUUAUUUUUAUAAUCAUUAUAUGCACAUAUACAGAUGUUAAAUUAAAUUAUUAAUGCACUUAUCUGAAAACAUCUGCAUCAUCUUGUUCCUCCGUAAAUCAUGAUCAGCGUAAUCAGAUUUUGAUGACGUUUUUACCAGUACACUAACGUCGAAUAUCGCCCCAAAUUAUAUCGGCC